rnacentral:rRNA from 1 species
ACGCGAAGAACCUUACCAAAUCUUGACAUCCUUUGACAACUCUAGAGAUAGAGCUUUCCCCUUCGGGGGACAAAGUGACAGGUGGUGCAUGGUUGUCGUCAGCUCGUGUCGUGAGAUGUUGGGUUAAGUCCCGCAACGAGCGCAACCCUUAAGCUUAGUUGCCAUCAUUAAGUUGGGCACUCUAAGUUGACUGCCGGUGACAAACCGGAGGAAGGUGGGGAUGACGUCAAAUCAUCAUGCCCCUUAUGAUUUGGGCUACACACGUGCUACAAUGGACAAUACAAAGGGCAGCGAAACCGCGAGGUCAAGCAAAUCCCAUAAAGUUGUUCUCAGUUCGGAUUGUAGUCUGCAACUCGACUACAUGAAGCUGGAAUCGCUAGUAAUCGUAGAUCAGCAUGCUACGGUGAAUACGUUCCCGGGUCUUGUACACACCGCCCGUCACACCACGAGAGUUUGUAACACCCGAAGCCGGUGGAGUAACCUUUUAGGAGCUAGCCGUCGAA